AUUGAACGCUGGCGGCAGGCCUAACACAUGCAAGUCGAGCGGAGCGGCGGACGGGUGAGUAAUGCCUAGGAAUCUGCCUGGUAGUGGGGGAUAACGUCCGGAAACGGGCGCUAAUACCGCAUACUAUCAGAUGAGCCUAGGCCUGAUUAGCUAGUUGGUGGGGUAAAGGCCUACCAAGGCGACGAUCCGUAACUGGUUUGAGAGGAUGAUCAGUCAAACUGGAACUGAGACACGUUCCAGCCUCCUACGGGAGGCAGGAGUGGGGAAUAUUGGACAAUGGGCGAAAGCCUGAUGCAGCCAUGCCGCGUGUGUGAAGAAGGUCUUCGGAUUGUAAAGCACUUUAAGUUGGUAGGCUUUACCAGCAGAAUAAGCACCGGCUAACUUCGUGCCAGCAGCCGAGGUAAUUC
rnacentral:rRNA from 1 species